GAACGAACGCUGGCGGCAUGCCUAACACAUGCAAGUCGAACGAGAUCUUCGGAUCUAGUGGCGCACGGGUGCGUAACGCGUGGGAAUCUGCCCUUGGGUUCGGAAUAACAGUUAGAAAUGACUGCUAAUACCGGAUGAUGACGUAAGUCCAAAGAUUUAUCGCCCAAGGAUGAGCCCGCGUAGGAUUAGCUAGUUGGUGGGGUAAAGGCCCACCAAGGCGACGAUCCUUAGCUGGUCUGAGAGGAUGAUCAGCCACACUGGGACUGAGACACGGCCCAGACUCCUACGGGAGGCAGCAGUGGGGAAUAUUGGACAAUGGGCGAAAGCCUGAUCCAGCAAUGCCGCGUGAGUGAUGAAGGCCUUAGGGUUGUAAAGCUCUUUUACCCGGGAUGAUAAUGACAGUACCGGGAGAAUAAGCUCCGGCUAACUCC
rnacentral:rRNA from 1 species